rnacentral:rRNA from 1 species
CGUCAAUCAUCAUGCCCCUUAUGUUCUGGGCUACACACGUGCUACAAUGGCCGGUACAGACGGACGCAAAGCCGCGAGGUGGAGCAAAUCCGAAAAAGCCGGUCUCAGUUCGGAUUGCAGGCUGCAAUUCGCCUGCAUGAAGUCGGAAUCGCUAGUAAUCGCAGGUCAGCAUACUGCGGUGAAUACGUUCCCGGGCCUU